CCCACCAAUCCCGUCCUCGCUGUUCAGAUAAACCAGGACAAGAACUUUGCCUUCCUUGAAUUUCGGUCCGUGGAUGAGACCACGCAGGCAAUGGCCUUCGACGGCAUCAUUUUCCAGGGUCAGUCGUUAAAAAUCAGGCGGCCCCCACGACUAUCGCCCCCUGCCUGGCAUCUCAGAGCAGCCCGCCUUCCACGUACCAGGGGUCGUCUCCACCGUGGUUCCAGACUCGCCACACAAGCUCUUUGUCGGAGGCCUGCCCAACUAUCUCAGUGACGAUCAGGUACCCCGCCCUCAGUCUCUGUCGCCGGGGAGCCGACCCACAACCCUCCUGUGUUUCUGUCCCACUGCUGCACGUGGAACUCAAGCAGGCAUGCACACACACGCACACGCACGCACGCACGCACGCGCACGCACAUACAUACAUAAAAUAAACACUCGUCUCUGUGUAACUGAUUAGUAGGAAAAGAAAGCCUGUCAAAGUUACCUCACCGCUUAAAAUUCAUUACAAGA